CCUACGGGAGGCAGCAGUGGGGAAUAGUGGGCAAUGGAGGCAACUCUGACCCAGCAAUGCCGCGUGAGUGAUGAAGGUAAUGUUAUUGUAAAGCUCUUUUCUUGGGAACGAAGAAAUGACGGUACCAAAGGAAUAAGCCCCGGCUAACUACGGGCCAGCAGCCGCGGUAAUACGGAGGGGGCAAGCGUUGUUCGGAAUGACUGGGCGUAAAGGGUGUGUCGGUGGUUUGCUAAGUUAGAUGUGUAAUACCCAGGGCUUAACUGGGGUGCUGCAUCGAAAACUGUUAGACUUGAGUACUGGAUAGGUUAGUGGAAUUCCUAGUGUAGCGGUUGAUUGCGUCGAUAUUAGGAGGCACCUCAGUGGCGAAGGCGACUCUCUGGACAGCAACUGACACUGCGGCACGAACGCGUGGGUAGCAAACCGGAUUAGAUCCCCGUGUAGUC
rnacentral:rRNA from 1 species